GCUGAGUCUAGUGGAUGAUGUGC
rnacentral:miRNA from 11 species